rnacentral:rRNA from 1 species
GAUGAACGCUAGCGGCAGGCUUAAUACAUGCAAGUCGAGGGGCAGCACGGGUAGCAAUACCUGGUGGCGACCGGCAAACGGGUGCGGAACACGUACGCAACUUUCCCAAAACUGGUGAAUAGCCCUCCGAAAGGAGGAUUAAUACACCGUAACAUAAUGAAGUGGCAUCACUUUAUUAUUAUAGCUCCGGCGGUUUUGGUAUGGGCGUGCGCCUGAUUAGGUAGUUGGCGGGGUAACGGGCCCGACCCAAGCCUUCCGAUCAGUAACUGGUGUGAGAGCACGACCAGUCACACGGGCACUGAGACACGGGCCCGACUCCUAC